GACGAACGCUGGCGGCGUGCCUAAUACAUGCAAGUUGAGCGCUGAAGGUUGGUACUUGUACCAACUGGAUGAGCAGCGAACGGGUGAGUAACGCGUGGGGAAUCUGCCUUUGAGCGGGGGACAACAUUUGGAAACGAAUGCUAAUACCGCAUAAAAACUUUAAACACAAGUUUUAAGUUUGAAAGAUGCAAUUGCAUCACUCAAAGAUGAUCCCGCGUUGUAUUAGCUAGUUGGUGAGGUAAAGGCUCACCAAGGCGAUGAUACAUAGCCGACCUGAGAGGGUGAUCGGCCACAUUGGGACUGAGACACGGCCCAAACUCCUACGGGAGGCAGCAGUAGGGAAUCUUCGGCAAUAGACGAAAAUCUGACCGAGCAACGCCGCGUGAGUGAAGAAGGUUUUCGGAUCGUAAAACUCUGUUGGUAGAGAAGAACGUUGGUGAGAGUGGAAAGCUCAUCAAGUGACGGUAACUACCCAGAAAGGGACGGCUAACUACGUG
rnacentral:rRNA from 1 species